rnacentral:rRNA from 1 species
UUUGAUCCUGGCUCAGAACGAACGCUGGCGGCGUGCCUAACACAUGCAAGUCGAACGGAAUUUGAGAGCUUGCUCUUAAAUUUAGUGGCGCACGGGUGAGUAACGCGUAGAUAAUCUGCCUGAUGAUCUGGGAUAACACUCCGAGAGAGGUGCUAAUACCGGAUAAGCCCACGGAGUUCUUUGACUCUGCGGGAAAAGGGGGGGACCUUCGGGCCCUCUGUCAAUCAGAUGAGUCUGCGUACCCAUUAGCUAGUUGGUAGGGUAAUGGCCUACCCAAGGGCUACGAUGGUUAGCUGGUCUGAGAGGAUGAUCAGCCACACUGGAACUGAGACACGGUCCAGACUCCUACGGGAGGCAGCAGUGGGGAAUUUUUGCGCAAUGGGGCGAAAGCCUGACGCAGCAACGCCGCGUGAGUGAUGAAGGCUUUUCGGGUCGUAAAGCUCUGUCGAGGGGAAAGAAAUGUAUUGUGGGCUAAUACCCGCGAUACUUGACGGUACCCCUAAAGGGAAGCACCGGCUAACUCCGUGCCAGCAGCCGCGGUAAUACGGGGGGUGCAAGCGUUGUUUCGGAAAUUAUUGGGCGUAAAAGCGCGUGUAGGCGGUCUGAUUAGUCCUGAUGUGAAAGCCCUGGGCUCACCCCAGGAAGUGCAUUGGAUACUGUCAGACUUGAAUACGGGAGAAGGGUAGUGGAAUUCCUAGUGUAGGAGUGAAAUCCGUAAAAUAUUAGGAGGAACACCGGUGGCGAAAGGCGGCUACCUGGACCGAUAUUGACGCUGAGACGCGAAAGCGUGGGUAGCAAAACAGGAUUAGAUACCCUGGUAGUCCACGCCGUAAACGAUGAGUACUAGGUGUUGCGGGUAUUGACCCCUGCAGUGCCGCAGCUAACGCAUUAAGUACUCCGCCUGGGAAGUACGGUCGCAAGACUAAAACUCAAAGGAAUUGACGG